rnacentral:tRNA from 1 species
GGGUAUAGCUCAGUUGGUAGAAUGUUUGCUUCAUAUGCACAAGGCCCUGGGUUCAAUCCCCAUCACCACA